rnacentral:rRNA from 1 species
UACGUAGGGCGCAAGCGUUGUCCGGAAUUAUUGGGCGUAAAGAGCUCGUAGGCGGUCUGUCGCGUCUGUUGUGAAAACUCGAGGCUCAACCUCGGGCUUGCAGUGGAUACGGGCAGACUAGAGUGCGGUAGGGGAGACUGGAAUUCCUGGUGUAGCGGUGGAAUGCGCAGAUAUCAGGAGGAACACCGAUGGCGAAGGCAGGUCUCUGGGCCGUAACUGACGCUGAGGAGCGAAAGCAUGGGGAGCGAACAGG